rnacentral:lncRNA from 1 species
AUUAUUUUCAUUAUUUUUUUGUGAGAUCGUGGCAUUGCCGUCGCUUAAAAUGAAUGACUUCAUAAGCUUGCCUAGAACUUCAGAGACAGUGUUGUACAUUGUAACAAUACUUAGCCAAUACUCUUUAUUGGUACUUUAUAACAGUAGUCUAUCGCUACCAUAGUGACCAUUUUAGAACAUUCCAGAUAUUGACAUUUUGUACAAUUGCAUAGUGAGCACACUUAUGAGAAACACCCUACGAGAACAUACUUCAUUUCAUCAUACAAGUCUUGGUGCUGUUGAGUUCCACACAAGUUCGGGGUGGUGGUGGUCUGGAGCACAUCCUGGGAGCACAGGGCAUGAGGCAGGUUACAACCUAGAACGGAUCCACUGUUGCAGGAAAAUUCCCCACACUCAGAUGUACACACAUUACGCACUGCAGGCACUUUAGAGUGACCAGUGCACCCGAGACACUUAUUUUCCUGUGGAAGGAAACCAGAGCACCUAGAUGAAGACUCACGUAAACGUGAGUUAGGUUACGUAGUGCUUAGAACUGCCACCUUUUCACUCAAAGGUUCAGAUUUCAUCUCCUGCUAUAGUGCACAUGGACAAGGUACUUACUCUGAAUUUCUCCACUAAAAAUUUCCCAGCCGUGAGAAUAGUCAGUAAUCUAAAGAAGCAUAACUUUGUAAGUCACUUCAGAGAAAAACAUCAGAUGGAUAAAAGUAACGUAAACGGAGAAGACAUGCAAAUUCAGAACAGACCGAGGCCCAUUUGAAGCCAAGUCUGACCCUGCAACACAGAAGAUGUGAGGUACCGGUGCAUAUUGCAGUGUUUUUUCAUUAUUACUUUAAAGACAUAAUUAACCUUGGUAACUUACUGCAAGUCCAUCAAUAACUUAAUCAAGAAUUUGUGUCUGUACUGAGUGCCUUUGGCACAGGGCACUUUUUAUGUGCAGUACAUUUUUAAUCACCCACUCGGUUUUGAAGGAUCGUUCGAGCAGUGAAGGUUAUGUUACACGUUGGGUUAUUUCUAUUAAGAUACUGCAACAAAGGUGCACCUCUCAUUUUUAUUACCGUUGCGCUUCAUAGCAGGUGCUUUUAUCUCACA